rnacentral:misc_RNA from 1 species
UACGAACUGCACAAACGUUAUUCGGAAUUACUGGGCGUAAAGGGCGCGUAGGCGGCCUGUUAAGUCGAACGUGAAAUCCCCGGGCUCAACCCGGGAACUGCGUCCGAGACUGGCAGGCUCGAAUCCGGGAGAGGGAUGUGGAAUUCCAGGUGUAGCGGUGAAAUGCGUAGAUAUCUGGAGGAACACCGGUGGCGAAGGCGGCAUCCUGGACCGGCAUUGACGCUGAGGCGCGAAAGCCAGGGGAGCAAACGGG